AUGAGGAGUCUGUUAUCUAGGAUAGUAAGGGUGACUCAGAAAUGCUGGGAAAGAAGAAAUGAUACAGAGAGCUGGCAUCUGUCUCAGACCUAACUGCCACAAUAAAACCAGAGUGUCAGUCCUGCUCACCUUGCAUCUAUGGAGCCCACUGCUCAUGCAUCCCUCCACAAUGUCUCAGGAUUUUACUGAAGAUUUUUUAAGAAUGUACUGUUAAGAGGAGUGAAGACUUUCAUCUCUAAGCAUAGCCAACUUACCAAGGCAGGUUACCACAGUAUUCCAUUGCAUCUCGAUUUUUGUAUGUGUGUUGCUUUCUGUUUUGUUUACCUUUUACAGAACUGUGUUGGACUGUAAAAUGACUUGUGCAGCAGUAUUUUUUGUACUGCAUGUUAGAUAUAAUCCAUUGCAAACACCCUAAGAUUAGUUGUAGCAAUUUGAACUCAAUCUAUUCUAAUCUUCUAGUUGACCUUUUAGCAUCUGAUAUCAGUCAUCAACAGUUGGAGAAUAAUUCCAGGGAUACUAAAUAACCAGAUAUUUGUUCUGGCUCAGCAUAGCAGUUCCUGCAAAAGACAUGAAUCUCACUAGUAGUCUGGUAAUCCCUUGGAUCAUAUAGAUCUGCAUUUUCUAAUGUAUUUUCCUUAAUUAAGAGGAAAUAGUGAUCAAUAUUCCACAAUACAUUCAAAUAAUAUUAAAAAAUUUCUUACUAAUGUGAAAACUGUGGUAGGUGAAAUAGCUGUUGUAAUUCUGAAGUAAGGAGGACCAGAAGAAAGUUACAGUCUUUCCUAUUGCCAUAUUACUUUAAAUUUUCUGUGAUUUUUCAUAUUGCUGGAAUGUUUUUCAUUCCGAAAGAGAAUGAAAUACAUUCAUUUUAAACAAGUGACUUAGAAAAAAAUCAAUUCAGUUGCAAUGAUCUCAUGGGAAAAGUUAUGCUAUUUUGCCUUAAUUCUGAUUUUCAAAAACUACUUCAAAAUGGAAAAUUGGAAAUCCUUGCUUUCAAUAUGUGAUUUAAAAUACAGUUCAAUAGAAUGUGACAGCUUUUUAAACAACAUUCCAUUGGAAACAAAUUAUCAUUUUCAGUUGGAGGGACAUUCCGGUGUAAAACUCAACUUGUCUGUAGGACAUCACUUGCAGCAUACAGUCAUAAACAACUGAGAACAGCUGCAAAAUCUGUGUUUGAAAAUAGCUUUCAAAAUUAAAUUGUUUUAAUUUUGCAUCAUUGGUGCUCAUCAAAAUUGUUUAAAUUAAAUUAAUUUUCAUCAGUAAAUAACAAUUUUUAAAAAGUCGUUUGUAAGAAAAUGUUGGUUUGGUGAAGUUAUUUAUUUUUAUUAUUUUAGGAGUCAAGAAGAGUUACUGAAAUACUUUGUUUUUUAUAUUUCUUAAUGAAGACAUUUUUUUGGAGACUAGGAUGAAUUACCAUUUAGAACAUUAAGCUGAUUUGGAAUCGUAUUAAAAAAAUAAAAAGAUAGAAAUAAAAUACCUAUAAC
ensembl:lncRNA